ACACCCGAUCCCAUUCCGAACUCGGCCGUGAAGACCCUCAGCGCCGAUGGUACUGCAUCUUAAGGUGUGGAAGAGUAGGUCGCUGCCAGGUC
rnacentral:rRNA from 1 species